rnacentral:rRNA from 1 species
CCUACGGGUGGCAGCAGUGAGGAAUAUUGGUCAAUGGGCUUACGCCUGAACCAGCCAAGUCGCGUGAGGGAAGACUGCCCUAUGGGUUGUAAACCUCUUUUGUCAGGGAGCAACGCCGGCUACGUGUAGCCGGACUGAGAGUACCUGAAGAAAAAGCAUCGGCUAACUCCGUGCCAGCAGCCGCGGUAAUACGGAGGAUGCGAGCGUUAUCCGGAUUUAUGGGGUUUAAGGGGUGCGUAGGCGGAAUGCCAAGUCAGCGGUAAAAUCGCGGGGCUCACCCGCGCUCCGCCGUUGAAACUGGCGUUCUUGAGUGGGCGGAAAGUAUGCGGAAUGCGUGGUGUAGCGGUGAAAUGCAUAGAUAUGACGCAGAACUCCGAUUGCGAAGGCAGCAUGCCGCAGCGGAACUGACGCUGAAGCACGAAAGCGUGGGUAUCGAACAGGAUUAGAUACCCGAGUAGUC